rnacentral:rRNA from 1 species
AAUAUUGGACAAUGGGGGUAACCCUAUCCCAGCCAUGCCGUUUGGUUGAAUAAGGUCUCCUGAUUGUAAAUCACCUUAAGUCGGGAGGAAGGGCUUCAGGUUAAUCCCCUGACGUAUUGACGUUACCAACCGAAUAAGCACCUGCUAACUCUGACCCAGCAGCCGCGGUAAUAUGAAGGGUGCAAGCGUUAAUCGGAAUUACUGGGCGUAAAGCGCGCGUAGGUGGUUCAGUAAGAUGGGUGUGAAAUCCCCGGGCUUAACCUGGGAACUGCUUUCAUAACUGCUGAGCUAGAGUACGGUAGAGGGUAGUGGAAUUUCCUGUGUAGCGGUGAAAUGCGUAGAUAUAGGAAGGAACACCAGUGGCGAAGGCGACUACCUGGACUGAUACUGACACUGAGGUGCGAAAGCGUGGGGAGCAAAC